GACGUAGGGGGCCAGCGUUGCCCGGAAUUACUGGGGGUAAAGGGUUUGUAGGCGGUGGGGCAAGUCGGGGGGGAAAUCUCUGGGCUCAACCCAGAGUCUGCUUCCGAAACUGCUGUGCUUGAGUGUGGGAGAGGCGCGUGGAAUUGCAGGUGUAGCGGUGAAAUGCGUAGAUAUCUGCAGGAACACCCGUGGCGAAAGCGGCGCGCUGGACCACUACUGACGCUGAGGAACGAAAGCUAGGGGAGCAAACAGG
rnacentral:rRNA from 1 species